UAGCAGAGAAAACAAGAGUAUUAUCUUAUUUAAACCAUAGUCUUAAGAUUAAACAUAAACUGGUAGAAGUAGAACCAAUACCAAUUACAGCACAACCCUAGAACUAGACCCACAGUAAGCAAGCAGUAACUGAUAGAUUUAAAUUAAAAACAAAGCCAAAACGGCGACUUAAAUAUAGAUAAACUAGAUCAUCAUCAACGUCCUCAGAUUUAGCAGAGUUGACCACAGUCAGCAAUCACAACAGGCUUGGAGCACCUACCAGAUCCAGAUCCAACAGCCUCAGCCUUCUUAAUCACAUCAUAGCCUUCAACAACUUGACCGAACACAACAUGCUUGCCAUCGAGCCACUCAGUCUUAGCGGUGCAGAUGAAGAACUGAGAACCGUUGGUUCCAGGUCCAGCAUUAGCCAUGGAGAGGAUUCCAGGACCGGUGUGCUUCCUUUUGAAGUUCUCGUCAGCGAAUUUGGCGCCGUAGAUUGAUUCACCUCCGGUACCGUUUCCGGCGGUGAAAUCACCUCCUUGACACAUGAACCCUGGGAUCACACGGUGGAAGGUUGAACCUUUGUAGUGCAAAGGCUUACCCAUCCUUCCGACGCCUUUCUCGCCGGUGCAGAGAGCACGGAAGUUCUCCGCCGUCUUGGGUACGGUGUCGGCAUAGAGCUCCAUCACCACACGGCCAGCUGGUGUGCCGCCGAUGGUAAGGUCAAAGAACACCUUUGGGUUU
rnacentral:lncRNA from 1 species